GGAUUCAAAGACUCUGUACAGUAAUUCGCGAUUCAAAAACUAAAAUCAAACACAACCACAUAAAUAUUACAAAAUCAUGGAUUGACCAAAAAAAUGAUCAUUUCCUAAGAGCAUGUUCACCGGUAUAAAAUGAAUAGUAAGAACAAUUCAACUGUCUUGUCCAGGGGUGGAUGUUUAUUAGGAUCAAGGUGGUCAUCAGACAAUUAAAUAUAUAUGUGGAGAAGUUUUUUGAGAACUCUUUGAAUGUUUGGUGCAAGU
rnacentral:lncRNA from 1 species